rnacentral:tRNA from 1 species
UGGCAUGUAGCUCAGUUGGUAGAGCAGGUGACUGUUAAUCACCGGGUCGCAGGUUCGAGCCCUGCCAUGCCAGCCA